AUACAGAGGGUGCGAGCGUUAAUCGGAAUUACUGGGCGUAAAGCGCGCGUAGGCGGCUUAUUAAGUCAGAUGUGAAAUCCCCGGGCUCAACCUGGGGACUGCAUCUGAUACUAGUAAGCUAGAGUUUUGGAGAGGGAAGUAGAAUUUCAGGUGUAGCGGUGAAAUGCAUAGAGAUCUGAAGGAAUACCAGUGGCGAAGGCGACUUCCUGGCCAAAAACUGACGCUGAGGUGCGAAAGCGUGGGUAGCAAACGGGAUUAGAAACCCUAGUAGUCC
rnacentral:rRNA from 1 species